CCGAGUUAGCAAACUCAUCAACCCUGUGAACAUACCCUAAACAGUUGCUUCGGCGGACAGACGCCCUGGACACGGGCCCCCGCCAGGAGGACCCCUAAACUCUGUUUUUAGCAAUGGCUUUUCUGAGUACUACAGCUAAUAAGUCA
rnacentral:misc_RNA from 1 species